rnacentral:pre_miRNA from 1 species
UAAGGUGCAUCUAGUGCUGUUAGUGAAGCAGCUUAUAAUCUACUGCCCUAAAUGCCCCUUCUCGC